CAGUAGCCGCGGGAAUACGAAGGGGGCUAGCGUUGUUCGGAAUUACUGGGCGUAAAGGGCGCGUAGGCGGCCAUUCAAGUUAGAUGUGAAAGCCCUGGGCUCAACCUAGGAAUUGCAUUUGAUACUGUUUGGCUUGAGUUCGGGGGAGGUGAGUGGAAUUCCCAGUGUAGAGGUGAAAUUCGUAGAUAUUGGGAAGAACACCAGUGGCGAAGGCGGCUCACUGGACCGACACUGACGCUGAGGCGCGAAAGCGUGGGGAGCAAACAGGAUUAGAUACCCCCGUAGUCCCUGUCUCUUAUAC
rnacentral:rRNA from 1 species